CGCCUUAGGAUGGAUCUGCGGCCGAUUAGGUCGUUGUUGGGGUAACGGCCCAACAAGCCGAUAAUCGGUACGGGUGUGGGAGCAAGAGCCCGGAGUUGGAUUCUGAGACACGAAUCCAGGCCCUACGGGGCGCAGCAGGCGCGAAAACUUUACAAUGCGGGCAACCGUGAUAAGGGAACCUCGAGUGCCUGUACAUGCAGGCUGUCUGGGUGUCUAAAACACACCCAAAGAAAGGGCCGGGCAAGACCGGUGCCAGCCGCCGCGGUAAUACCGGCGGCUCGAGUGGUGGCCACUUUUAUUGGGCUUAAAGCGUUCGUAGCUGGGUCGUUAAGUCUCUUGGGAAAUCUGGCAGCUUAACUGUCAGGCGUCUAAGAGAUACUGGCAAUCUAGGAACCGGGAGAGGUGAGGGGUACUUCGGGGGUAGGAGUGAAAUCCUGUAAUCCUCGAGGGACCACCUGUGGCGAAGGCGCCUCACCAGAACGGCUUCGACAGUGAGGGACGAAAGCUGGGGGAGCAAACCGGAUUAGAUACCCGGGUAGUCCCAGCCGUAAACGAUGCGCGUUAGGUAUGUCGAUGACCACGAGUCAUCGAGGUGCCGAAGGGAAACCGUGAAACGCGCCGCCUGGGAAGUACGGUCGCAAGGCUGAAACUUAAAGGAAUUGGCGGGGGAG
rnacentral:rRNA from 1 species